GGGCAGAAGAAUGAAAAGAGAAGAAAACAACUUGAGCUAAUGUUCAACAACAGUGCUGAUGUUGCUACCAAGAUGUGGUCCCCUCCUGUCAAGCAUCAUGAGCUGAACUCACCAAGCUGAGCCCUACACCAAACACAUUGAGAUUUUGUUAUGCAUCUGCUGGCUGAUAUCAAAAGAUAAAAAACCCUUGCAACAGUGUUAAAAAGCAUACAUCCCAAACCUGUCAACGAGUGGCAGGGGGUGGCAGUGCCUGUCACAUCUCUGCUCUUGGAAACGAUCAGAACCCUGAUGGCACAGCCAUGCUGCAGUUUCCAUGGCAGAUCUCAGACAAGAUGUUCCCCAGGAGAGUUUUUUGAUAUCACCAUUUUUCAGGACUGCUUUACUCCAGGUAAUUUGAGUAAAAUGGAUAAAAUGAAUUCUGAUUGCAGUAAGGAAGUCCUUCAUUUUUCAGAAUCGCUGAAGUUUACUGCAGUGCUGAGUGGAAUCUGAGACGUGACAUCCGUGUUGGAAUUUCUGCUGCAUGAAGAAUUUACCCUUAGUUCCUGGUCUCUGCCACACUAUCACAGCACUCAGGAGAAGUUCCAUCUUCCCAGAUGAAAACCUGAUCCCCUUUCUUCAUGGAGCUCUGGACACAUUUGAAGAGAAAAUGUCAUUUUUGUGCCUGCUGGAGGUGUGAUGAGAUCAGAGACAUCAAUGCUAAACUGCAGUAGAAUGGACUCCAUUCUAUUGGAGAUCCCAUCUCAGGCAGUCUAAAAGUGAUUAUGGAGCAGCAGUGCAGCAGCAGCCUGAUGAGCAGCAGCAUUAUUGCUGUGAGGAGUGCUGAUGAUCUUGGUUGCACUCAUUUCCCCAUGGGAAGACUUGCCUGCUUCUGAGUGCAGCCUUAAUUACAAAGCUGGCAUUACUUCCUGCUAGUGAUGAAGAAAAAAUUUCUGGUGGCCGAGGAACUCUACGUUGGUAGAACUUCUGUCACAACUGUCAAACACAAGGAGAGAAAAUGAAUUAUUUGCAGAAUCACAGAAUGGGUAAUGCAAAGAUGCCAUUAUUUUAGUGAUCAAGGAUGUUCUACCUGAUGAAGAAAAUCCAGACAGAGUUUCUUUAACAAACUCCAUGUCUUUCUCUUUUAAAUGUUCCAUUUUCAUCUACUGUGAAGAGACAACAAGAGCGUUUAUCAAAUCCAAGAUGAAGCCACGGGCAGAACAACCAAUUUUCUCUUCUCCUGUGAUCAGUUUUCCAGCUUCAGUUUUCAUUUGAUGAGAAAUACCUAGAAAAAUUUGGAGCAGUUUGCACUAAUUCAGCUGUAAUCAGAAAUACUGAUUUUUGGCUGAUUUCAAUGCUUGUGUGCUUGCUUGUGGUUCCCUCAAAGAGCUGAAAAAUAAAUAUGAAUAUAUUUUAGCAGCUGAUACAUAUAUUUUAGCAGCCUUUAUUCCUUGUAUUCAGCUGUCAUCUCUUGCAACAUCCUUAAAUAUAAAUGUUUGAAAGCUCUGGUGUUCUGUGAGUGAGAGGCAGGAGAAGCCCUUCCCUCUCUGUACUCUGAUGGAGUUGAUCAUUUGGGAUUUUCUCCUCCUCUGUGUAUUUUGCCUCCUCACUAACUGCAGCAGCAUCACAUUUUUAAGUCCAUCCCAUUUUCCUAAUUGUCGUGAUGUUUUUGGUUGAAUUCCAUCCUUUCACCUAACAGUAAUUUUCCUGGUUGUAAGGAAAAGGGUGGGUGAGCCCUUCCUGCCUUGCAGAGAUGUAGGAAAAACCACAUCAAGUUUGUGCCAGGGUUAGAAUCAGAGAAUCUGUUUUGUGUCCUUGUCACAGGUUAUGCUUCUCCUUGUCAGCACAGGGAUGCUUGGAGCAUCUGCAAACUCCAGGACUCUUUUCUGCCUGCUCCCCUCUCCCUGUGCUGGUGCACUGAACUUUUCCUGGGUCCAUAUUCCACCUGCUCCUGCCUGUCUUGAUGCCCUCUGGCCAUGCUGUGAUGGGAAGGGCUGCCUCAGGGCUCUGAGAACUUUAAAGGAGGUUUGGGAGGUGUUAGAGCCUUGCAGAUUUAUAGAGUUGUUGCUGGACAUCAGAAGUCUGUGAACUUAAUAAAGUUUGCCUCAGGGAUGUGUGGGUUUAAGGGCUCUGAAGGAUUUGGGGAUAUAAAAAUGCUUUUAAUAACUAGGUAACUCACUUUUAGAUCUUCCAAAAAAAAAAAAAAAACCUAUUAAAAAUCACCAUGCUGGAGAACUAUGGUAGAUAAGACAAAAUUAGACCUGUCUUCCCAAAGCUUUAUUUGAAAUGUGAGAUGUUACUCUGCACCACCAGAGUUCCCAGCAAGAUGUAGAUUUAUUCCAGGUAAUUCCUGGGGCAGAGACAGAAUUACAGUUUAGUAUGAGGGUAUGAAAUUAGGUGUAGCUCCAAUAGGAGAAGGUUGAUCUACAUUAGAAAUUAUUUUUGGAAAAAGAUUUUGAGAUUCUUGCAUCUUAAAAAAUUUUACCUACUGUGUUUUUUUGGGUUUUUUGGACCAAUACUGGAGUACUUCUUUUAGCUCUGAUAUUGCCCAGGGUGGCAACUCAUCUCAGCCACUGUCCAGUGACUAGUCAGGGAAGAAAUCACUGAGUUAUCCUUGGUGUUAAUUGAGUUUACAGGUUAGUUCAGCAGUUCAGCUCAGAGAAUGAAGGACAUAAAUUGCUCAGGUGUCUGAGGACUGCAGGACUCCUGCAAAUCAAGGCUUGGCAGAGGUGCUGUGUUAGGUGAAGGCACUGGCUCAGUGUGCCCUGCUGUGGGCACAGUCACAGCAGCUUGUGUUUGUCUCACAGCCAAUUCCACUCCUUGGUCUGUGCUCAAGGAGUGGAAGCAGCUGUGAUGCAAACUGUGAUGCUGCUGAAAUCUUCUUAUGAGGAAAGGUUUGAUUGAGAGGGUCAUUAUUCCACAAAUGUAAUAAAGUCAGGGGUGUGAAGGAGCAGAGGUCAUUUAGAUGUCAUUAGUUACAUGCUAUUAAAUGGAGAUUAGCUUGUGCUCAUUACAGAUUGAACAAAGUAGUCCUGGCUCUCUCUUCUGGGUAUGUUGGGCAAAAGAAACAAAUGUAAUCAAAGGAAAUGAGUUGUUAGUGAUUAAUUAUAAGAAUUGGGUUGACUGUGUUGUUGAGCAUGGUGCCUGGAAACUCAGUCAGAGCAGAGAGGUUUGCCACCCAGGAGAAAUAAAUGGAGUUUCAGGUGCUGACAGCAAUGCUUUUAAAGGUUCCAAGAUAAAAGGGAACCUGUUUCUAAGCCACAUAAGAAAAACAAAAAUUCCAUAUGAUAAUAUGGAAUUCUAAUACCAGUCUGAAGAAGUUUAUUUGUUACCUCAGUAUUUCCACAGGAAAAAAUCCAAAAACCAGCAAAUCAGACAGCACCACAAAUGAUGUAAAAAACUCCCCUAAUUUCAAUAUCCAAACCACCACAUUCACAGCCUUCAAAAAAAAAA